GCCACUUUAGCUCAGAGGUAGAGCACUGCUCUCGUAAAGCAGGGGUCACUGGUUCGAUUCUAGUAAGUGGCA